GGUUAAGCGACUAAGCGUACACGGUGGAUGCCCUGGCAGUCAGAGGCGAUGAAGGACGUGCUAAUCUGCGAUAAGCGUCGGUAAGGUGAUAUGAACCGUUAUAACCGGCGAUUUCCGAAUGGGGAAACCCAGUGUGUUUCGACACACUAUCAUUAACUGAAUCCAUAGGUUAAUGAGGCGAACCGGGGGAACUGAAACAUCUAAGUACCCCGAGGAAAAGAAAUCAACCGAGAUUCCCCCAGUAGCGGCGAGCGAACGGGGAGCAGCCCAGAGCCUGAAUCAGUAUGUGUGUUAGUGGAAGCGUCUGGAAAGGCGCGCGAUACAGGGUGACAGCCCCGUACACAAAAAUGCACAUGCUGUGAGCUCGAUGAGUAGGGCGGGACACGUGGUAUCCUGUCUGAAUAUGGGGGGACCAUCCUCCAAGGCUAAAUACUCCUGACUGACCGAUAGUGAACCAGUACCGUGAGGGAAAGGCGAAAAGAACCCCGGCGAGGGGAGUGAAAAAGAACCUGAAACCGUGUACGUACAAGCAGUGGGAGCACGCUUAGGCGUGUGACUGCGUACCUUUUGUAUAAUGGGUCAGCGACUUAUAUUCUGUAGCAAGGUUAACCGAAUAGGGGAGCCGAAGGGAAACCGAGUCUUAACUGGGCGUUAAGUUGCAGGGUAUAGACCCGAAACCCGGUGAUCUAGCCAUGGGCAGGUUGAAGGUUGGGUAACACUAACUGGAGGACCGAACCGACUAAUGUUGAAAAAUUAGCGGAUGACUUGUGGCUGGGGGUGAAAGGCCAAUCAAACCGGGAGAUAGCUGGUUCUCCCCGAAAGCUAUUUAGGUAGCGCCUCGUGAAUUCAUCUCCGGGGGUAGAGCACUGUUUCGGCAAGGGGGUCAUCCCGACUUACCAACCCGAUGCAAACUGCGAAUACCGGAGAAUGUUAUCACGGGAGACACACGGCGGGUGCUAACGUCCGUCGUGAAGAGGGAAACAACCCAGACCGCCAGCUAAGGUCCCAAAGUCAUGGUUAAGUGGGAAACGAUGUGGGAAGGCCCAGACAGCCAGGAUGUUGGCUUAGAAGCAGCCAUCAUUUAAAGAAAGCGUAAUAGCUCACUGGUCGAGUCGGCCUGCGCGGAAGAUGUAACGGGGCUAAACCAUGCACCGAAGCUGCGGCAGCGACACUAUGUGUUGUUGGGUAGGGGAGCGUUCUGUAAGCCUGUGAAGGUGUGCUGUGAGGCAUGCUGGAGGUAUCAGAAGUGCGAAUGCUGACAUAAGUAACGAUAAAGCGGGUGAAAAGCCCGCUCGCCGGAAGACCAAGGGUUCCUGUCCAACGUUAAUCGGGGCAGGGUGAGUCGACCCCUAAGGCGAGGCCGAAAGGCGUAGUCGAUGGGAAACAGGUUAAUAUUCCUGUACUUGGUGUUACUGCGAAGGGGGGACGGAGAAGGCUAUGUUGGCCGGGCGACGGUUGUCCCGGUUUAAGCGUGUAGGCUGGUUUUCCAGGCAAAUCCGGAAAAUCAAGGCUGAGGCGUGAUGACGAGGCACUACGGUGCUGAAGCAACAAAUGCCCUGCUUCCAGGAAAAGCCUCUAAGCAUCAGGUAACAUCAAAUCGUACCCCAAACCGACACAGGUGGUCAGGUAGAGAAUACCAAGGCGCUUGAGAGAACUCGGGUGAAGGAACUAGGCAAAAUGGUGCCGUAACUUCGGGAGAAGGCACGCUGAUAUGUAGGUGAAGUCCCUCGCGGAUGGAGCUGAAAUCAGUCGAAGAUACCAGCUGGCUGCAACUGUUUAUUAAAAACACAGCACUGUGCAAACACGAAAGUGGACGUAUACGGUGUGACGCCUGCCCGGUGCCGGAAGGUUAAUUGAUGGGGUUAGCCGCAAGGCGAAGCUCUUGAUCGAAGCCCCGGUAAACGGCGGCCGUAACUAUAACGGUCCUAAGGUAGCGAAAUUCCUUGUCGGGUAAGUUCCGACCUGCACGAAUGGCGUAAUGAUGGCCAGGCUGUCUCCACCCGAGACUCAGUGAAAUUGAACUCGCUGUGAAGAUGCAGUGUACCCGCGGCAAGACGGAAAGACCCCGUGAACCUUUACUAUAGCUUGACACUGAACAUUGAGCCUUGAUGUGUAGGAUAGGUGGGAGGCUUAGAAGUGUGGACGCCAGUCUGCAUGGAGCCGACCUUGAAAUACCACCCUUUAAUGUUUGAUGUUCUAACGUUGACCCGUAAUCCGGGUUGCGGACAGUGUCUGGUGGGUAGUUUGACUGGGGCGGUCUCCUCCUAAAGAGUAACGGAGGAGCACGAAGGUUGGCUAAUCCUGGUCGGACAUCAGGAGGUUAGUGCAAUGGCAUAAGCCAGCUUGACUGCGAGCGUGACGGCGCGAGCAGGUGCGAAAGCAGGUCAUAGUGAUCCGGUGGUUCUGAAUGGAAGGGCCAUCGCUCAACGGAUAAAAGGUACUCCGGGGAUAACAGGCUGAUACCGCCCAAGAGUUCAUAUCGACGGCGGUGUUUGGCACCUCGAUGUCGGCUCAUCACAUCCUGGGGCUGAAGUAGGUCCCAAGGGUAUGGCUGUUCGCCAUUUAAAGUGGUACGCGAGCUGGGUUUAGAACGUCGUGAGACAGUUCGGUCCCUAUCUGCCGUGGGCGCUGGAGAACUGAGGGGGGCUGCUCCUAGUACGAGAGGACCGGAGUGGACGCAUCACUGGUGUUCGGGUUGUCAUGCCAAUGGCACUGCCCGGUAGCUAAAUGCGGAAGAGAUAAGUGCUGAAAGCAUCUAAGCACGAAACUUGCCCCGAGAUGAGUUCUCCCUGACCCUUUAAGGGUCCUGAAGGAACGUUGAAGACGACGACGUUGAUAGGCCGGGUGUGUAAGCGCAGCGAUGCGUUGAGCUAACCGGUACUAAUGAACCGUGAGGCUUAACCUU
rnacentral:rRNA from 1 species